ACAACAGGUCUUUCUUUCCUUCACCCCCCAAAACAAGUCUAUUUUUCUUGUUUGUUGUCUCUGUCUCCUUAAUCUCUAUAUACAGUCUUUUGAACUUUUAUUAAUCAGGAUACUGAAGUUUUUUUUUUUUUUUUUUUUUGUUUUUGUCUCUUUUGGUGUUUGUUUAGCAAAGAUGAGUGACCCAAAGUAUGCUUAUCCUUACCCUGCUCAAGGUUAUUAUCAAGGACCUCCAGUGAUGGCGCCUCCGCAAUAUGCUGCUCCUCCACCCAGAAGACAGCCUGGUUUCCUUGAAGGAUGCCUUGCAGCUUUGUGUUGCUGUUGCCUUAUUGAUGAAUGUUGCUGUGACCCAUCCAUCAUCUUUGUUAGCUGAGAAAGCUGUAACUUGUAACCAAAACAAAAGGAAAGAAUAUGACCAAAAAAAAAAAAAACGAAAGAAAAGAAAGCUGCAACUUUGCUGCACAAAUAGUUCUACUUUGUUUGAUACAAAUGUAAUGUCAUGUGCGGUGUUGUUUCUUUAGGAAUAUUUCAAUCUAAUUUUCUACUAUUUUAUCAUGCA